GCAGCAGUAGGGAAUAUUCCACAAUGAGCGAAAGCUUGAUGGAGCGACACAGCGUGCACGAUGAAGGUCUUCGGAUUGUAAAGUGCUGUUAUAGGGAAAGAACACCUGGUUGAGGAAAUGCUUCCAGGCUGACGGUACCCUGUCAGAAAGCGAUGGCUAACUAUGUGCCAGCAGCCGCGGUAAUACAUAGGUCGCAAGCGUUAUCCGGAAUUAUUGGGCGUAAAGCGUUCGUAGGCUGUUUAUUAAGUCUGGAGUCAAAUCCCAGGGCUCAACCCUGGCUCGCUUUGGAUACUGGUAAACUAGAGUUAGAUAGAGGUAAGCGGAAUUCCAUGUGAAGCGGUGAAAUGCGUAGAUAUAUGGAAGAACACCAAAGGCGAAGGCAGCUUACUGGGUCUAUACUGACGCUGAGGGACGAAAGCGUGGGGAGCAAACAGGAUUAGAUACCCUGGUAGUCCACGCCGUAAACGAUGAUCAUUAGUCGGUGGAGAGUUCACUGACGCAGCUAACGCAUUAAAUGAUCCGCCUGAGUAGUAUGCUCGCAAGAGUGAAACUUAAAGGAAUUGACGGGGACCCGCACAAGCGGUGGAGCAUGUGGUUUAAUUUGAAGAUACGCGGAGAACCUUACCCACUCUUGACAUCCUUCGCAAUGCUAUAGAGAUAUAGCGGAGGUUAACGGAGUGACAGAUGGUGCAUGGUUGUCGUCAGCUCGUGUCGUGAGAUGUUUGGUCAAGUCCUGCAACGAGCGCAACCCCUAUCUUUAGUUACUAACGAGUCAUGUCGAGGACUCUAGAGAUACUGCCUGGGUAACUGGGAGGAAGGUGGGGAUGACGUCAAAUCAUCAUGCCUCUUACGAGUGGGGCAACACACGUGUUACAAUGGUUGGUACAAAGGGAAGCAAUAUGGCGACAUGGAGCAAAUCUCAAAUAUCUCGAUCUCAGU
rnacentral:rRNA from 2 species